UGAUGGCUAGAGCUGGAGCGGCAAUCUUGCAACCUUGAGGCAAAAUCAAGCAAAUUCCACAGACCUCAACUUGGACAUCCUUGAGCCACUAAACCAAUAUCAGCAACUGCCUACAUCUGGACUUCUUACUAAGCAUUCUGGUGAGUGAGUCAGCCAAGCUUAUGAGUACCUGCAGUAUGUUGCACCUUAUUAGGUUCUAGGGGAUUUCUUCCCUCCAGUGGGAUGAGCACCAAUAAGAUACAAUAUUUUUGUAGAUUCGUGUGCUAAACUGGAGAAGCUUGGGACAAUAAGCUGAACAACAUGAGCAAAGCCAAAUUCAGGGUAGGAUCUCAGGGGUGUCCAGCCAGCCUUUCUUUGUACUGAAAGGGGUCACCUUUUCAAGCAUUGUAUUCACACAGCUUUGAGUUUAUUUCUUCUCUGAACUUCAUUUCUAAACCAUUACUGUUCUGGGUGAGCUGUGCUUAGAGACAUAACAGAGUUGAAGAUGGAUCCAAGGGCCCACAUGGAGAUCAAAAUGCAGCAUUUGCUUCAUUUCUGGUUGAUAUUUGCAAAACCUUUGGUUUCUGAUAAAGUCUUUGUUCCUUAUGUUUGUGGGAGAAAAGGAACAAAAAGGGAGAGAGAAACACAGUUAAACAGCAAAUCCUACACAUAUCCCAAGGCUUUUGAAGACAAAAAGAAUUGU